GGAAUUUUCCGCAAUGGGGGCAACCCUGACGGAGCGACGCCGCGUGGGCGAUGAAGGCUUUCGGGUCGUAAAACCCUUUCGGCAGGGAAGAAUAGCGAUGACGGUACCUGCAGAAGAAGCACCGGCUAACUACGUGCCAGCAGCCGCGGUAAUACAUAGGGUGCGAGCGUUGUUCGGAAUCACUGGGCGUAAAGAGCACGUAGGCGGUCUGGAAAGUCAGAGGUGAAAGCCCGGAGCUCAACUCCGGAGGGCCCUUUGAAACUCCCAGACUUGAGUAUAGGAGAGGUAAGCGGAAUUCCUGGUGUAGCAGUGAAAUGCGUAGAUAUCAGGAGGAACACCAGUGGCGAAGGCGGCUUACUGGCCUAAUACUGACGCUGAGGUGCGAAAGCGUGGGGGGCGAACAGGAUUAGAUACCCCAGUAGUC
rnacentral:rRNA from 1 species